rnacentral:rRNA from 1 species
CACGUAAGUAAUCUACCUUUAGGGACGGGAUAACUUCUGGAACGGAUGCUAAUACCGAUAUGCUGUGGAGUGAAAUGAAUUUCGACCUAAAGAUGAUCUUGCGUCUGAUUAGCUAGAUAGGGUGGUAAUGGCGCCCUAUGGCGACGAUCAGUAGCUGGUCUGAGAGGAUGGACAGCCACAUUGGGACUGAGACACGGCCCAAACUCCUACGGGAGGCAGCAGUGGGGAAUUUUCCGCAAUGGGCGAAAGCCUGACGGAGCGACGCUGCGUGAAGGAUGACGGCCUGAGGGUUUGUAAACU